GGGCUCGGCCCGAUCCUCCCACCCUUUGUGUACCUACCUCUGUUGCUUUGGCGGGCCGCGGUCCUCCGCGGCCGCCCCCCUCCCCGGGGGGUGGCCAGCGCCCGCCAGAGGACCAUCAAACUCCAGUCAGUAAACGAUGCAGUCUGAAAAACAUUUAAUAAACUAAAACUUUCAACAACGGAUCUCUUGGUUCUGGCAUCGAUGAAGAACGCAGCGAAAUGCGAUAAGUAAUGUGAAUUGCAGAAUUCAGUGAAUCAUCGAAUCUUUGAACGCACAUUGCGCCCUUUGGUAUUCCGAAGGGCAUGCCUGUUCGAGCGUCAUUACAACCCUCAAGCUCUGCUUGGUAUUGGGCACCGUCCUUUGCGGGCGCGCCUCAAAGACCUCGGCGGUGGCGUCUUGCCUCAAGCGUAGUAGAACAUACAUCUCGCUUCGGAGCGCAGGGCGUCGCCCGCCGGACGAACCUUCUGAACUUUUCUCAAGGUUGACCUCGGAUCAGGUAGGGAUACCCGCUGAACUUAAGCAUAUCAAUAAGCGGAGGAA
rnacentral:rRNA from 1 species